UUGGAGGAUCACUUGAGCCCAGGAGUUCGAGACCGGCCUGGGCAACAAAGUGAGCCCCAUC
rnacentral:pre_miRNA from 1 species